rnacentral:rRNA from 1 species
AUUGAACGCUGGCGGCAGGCCUAACACAUGCAAGUCGAACGAGUGGCGGAGGGGUGAGUAAUGUCUGGGAAACUGCCUGAUGGGGGGGGAUCACUACUAAAAACGGUAGCUAAUCCCGCAUACCAUCAGAUGCGCCCAUAUGGGAUUAGGUUGUUGGUGGGUUAACGGCUCACCAAGGCGAAGAUCCAUAGCUGGUCUGAGAGGAUGACCAGCCACACUGGAACUGAGACACGGUUCAGACUCCUACGGGAGGCAGCAGUGGGGAAUAUUGCACAAUGGGCGCAAGCCUGAUGAAGCCAUGCCGCGUGUAUGAAGAAGGCCUGCGGGUUGUAAAGUACUUUCAGCGGGGAGGCGUUACCCGCAGGAGAAGAACCGGCUAACUCCGUGCCAGCCGCAGCGGUAAUUC